CCCGGGUCUCAGCGGGGUGAAGGGGUUAAAAGUGAUCUCUGUAAGAGGGGGGAAAAAAAUUCACAUAGGGACAUUCAAAAAAGUGGGAAGAUGCUUUAAUGAGGAUAAGAAGACCUUCUCCCUUUCAAGGGACACAACGUAGCCGAUGAAGUCGCAUACAAACGCUUCAAGAGGCGGAGCAUCCAUGGGAGCAGCACAGGAGGUCCAGCUGCCAGUACACCGCUGCCCUCUGGGGGGCGCUGUGACUCCCUCUUUGAAUUUUACACGUUCUGUCGGAGCUCGAAUUUUCACGGAGAAAACACAUGCAAGAACACAAUGUCCUGCAAUAAGACAUGCAAGGUGCUGCACAAACCUCUGCAACACCUUCUGAUAAAGAUAAGAAAUAAUCUUAAAUGUGAUCAGGAAACUAAGAUGUCACCAAAAUUAGGAUUAAAAUUCCUGUUUGUGAAAAUAGUAUAGCAAAAAAAACAUUUAUUGUUCUCACAUCCCCAUGACAAGUUUGCAAACUGUUCUUCUUAUUCAUUGGGUUGUAAGAUAUAUUUAAUUAUUUCACUGACAUUAAAGACAUGUUAAUGUUUUUACUUAAUAUUAUUCCAGUAUCAGCAGUUGAUUUUAUUUUUAUUUGCAGGUCUUCUUCCAAGCAGUGUUACUGGAGCAUUUUUAUUUAGAUUUAAAGUCUGCUAGAGUCAAUUUAGAGUUUAAUUAAAACUGCACCCAUCAACAACAAGCUCUCAUACUGGGUUUAACCCUCUGGUGCAUAGGCAAAAAAAAAAAAAGUUUGAAUAUUAAGAAAAAAAAAUAGAAUAAAAACAGCAUUUGGUACGGAGGAUAUGAUGAUGCGGGCCUGUUUCCCUUCCCCAGGCAAUGGGAAUCUUGUUAGAACGUGCCAUCUUGAAAUGCCAGCAGAUUGAACUAAAAAUCUUGCUUACUGGUGCAGUUAAACUGAAAAAGGAUGGUCACUGGGUAUUUCAUGAGGCAACCCCCUUCAUCAAGAAAAAAUCUAGCUUUCAGUGGCCACCUCAGUUUCCAGACUUGGAUAGAUACAAAAACUGUAGGAAGGCGAAGAGGAAAAAACGCACCAAGCAUCCUAAGGAGACUAUGAAAGAAAUGAUCAGAUAUCUUGGGCUGUAUUGUCCAAGCUUAUGAUACUUAUAACUGGGAUACCCACAGUUUAGUUAACAUCAGGUAUUCAUACUACAAUUAUCUGAAUCUAAUUCUUCACAUUCAUCCAUCUCGCUUCCUUGUUUAAUGUAAAAUUAACUCCAAAUUACACCUCUGUCACUUUAACUUUUACCAACAAGCACUUUAAAACAUAAACAAAACAAACAAAAAGUCUACUCCCAGCAUGACAACCGAUCAAGCUGCACAGCUCCUCCAGCAUAGCAGCUGCCACAGAUGUUCUUGUCUUCUGCUGAAAACGUCACGCUAAGCAGGAACGAACCAUUUCAUGCAGAUCCAGGGGGGUGUUUAGUACAAAUAUGGACGUGUGCUUUUUGGUCUGAGAGGGAUAACAUUUAAUUUUUAUUGCUAAAAACAAUUUUUAAAAUCACAGAAACGGUAAUUGACAAAUCAAGUGAAAAUUACACACAAAUAUAAAACGGAAUACAAUAAGCCCAAAAAUUCACCAUUACAUAAUAAUACAUAGAAAUAUGACACUAUGACACUGCAAAAAUAUACUGCAAAAUAUAUUACAUUUUUUAAAAUAUCUUCCUCAUGCUUUCACAAAUUGAGUUACACACAAGUAUAAAACAGAAUACAGUAAGCCCAAAAAUACAUCAUUACAUCAUAAUACAUAGAAAUAUGACACUGUGAAAUAUGUACAAAAAUUAUCUCUUCCUCCAGCUUCUUGUCUUGUAAAUAAACACUGUGAUUUU